rfam:Paracoccidioides brasiliensis strain Pb18 mitochondrion, complete genome.
AGGAAGAAUCCGUAUGCUGGUUUGCGGGUUGAGCUGUAAACUCAAUAGCUCUUUAGCUAACAAAGGUUCAAUUCCUUUUCUUCCUA